UACAGAGGGUGCAAGCGUUGUCCGGAAUCAUUGGGCGUAAAGCGCGUGUAGGCGGUUCGGUAAGUCUGCUGUGAAAGUCCAGGGCUCAACCCUGGGAUGCCGGUGGAUACUGUCGGGCUUGAGUACGGAAGAGGCGAGUGGAAUUCCUGGUGUAGCGGUGAAAUGCGCAGAUAUCAGGAGGAACACCGAUGGCGAAGGCAGGUCUCUGGGCCAUAACUGACGCUGAGAAGCGAAAGCAUGGGGAGCGAACAGG
rnacentral:rRNA from 1 species